CUCGUAGACUCCUACGGGAGGCAGCAGUGGGGAAUAUUGCACAAUGGGGGAAACCCUGAUGCAGCCAUGCCGCGUGUGUGAAGAAGGCCUUCGGGUUGUAAAGCACUUUCAGUAGGGAGGAAGGUAGUGUAGUUAACACCUGCAUUAUUUGACGUUACCUACAGAAGAAGCACCGGCUAACUCCGUGCCAGCAGCCGCGGUAAUACGGAGGGUGCGAGCGUUAAUCGGAAUUACUGGGCGUAAAGCGCAUGCAGGCGGCCUGUUAAGUCAGAUGUGAAAGCCCCGGGGCUUAACCUCGGAAUUGCAUUUGAAACUGGCAGGCUAGAGUCUUGUAGAGGGGGUAGAAUUUCAGGUGUAGCGGUGAAAUGCGUAGAGAUCUGAAGGAAUUACCAGUGGCGAAGGCGGCCCCCUGGACAAAGACUGACGCUCAGAUGCGAAAGCGUGGGGAGCAAACAGGAUUAGAUACCCUGGUAG
rnacentral:rRNA from 1 species